CGGCGGACGGGUGAGUAACGCGUGGGUAACCUGCCUCAUACAGGGGGAUAACAGUUGGAAACGGCUGCUAAUACCGCAUAAGCGCACAGUACCGCACGAUACGGUGUGAAAAACUCCGGUGGUAUGAGAUGGACCCGCGUCUGAUUAGGUAGUUGGUGGGGUAACGGCCUACCAAGCCGACGAUCAGUAGCCGACCUGAGAGGGUGACCGGCCACAUUGGGACUGAGACACGGCCCAA
rnacentral:rRNA from 1 species